rnacentral:rRNA from 1 species
GUGAGGAAUAUUGGUCAAUGGGCGGGAGCCUGAACCAGCCAAGUCGCGUGAAGGAAGAAGGAUCUAUGGUUCGUAAACUUCUUUUGCAGGGGAAUAAAGUGCAGGACGUGUCCUGUUUUGUAUGUACCCUGAGAAUAAGGAUCGGCUAACUCCGUGCCAGCAGCCGCGGUAAUACGGAGGAUCCGAGCGUUAUCCGGAUUUAUUGGGUUUAAAGGGUGCGUAGGUGGUUUGAUAAGUCAGUGGUGAAAGUUUGCAGCUUAACUGUAAAAAUGCCGUUGAAACUGUCGGACUUGAGUGUAAAUGAGGUAGGCGGAAUGCGUGGUGUAGCGGUGAAAUGCAUAGAUAUCACGCAGAACUCCGAUUGCGAAGGCAGCUUACUAAGCUACAACUGACACUGAAGCACGAAAGCGUGGGGAUCAAACAGGAUUAGAAACCCUAGUAGUCC